rnacentral:rRNA from 1 species
AUUGAACGCUGGCGGCAGGCCUAACACAUGCAAGUCGAACGAGUGGCGGACGGGUGAGUAAUGUCUGGGAAACAGCCUGAUGGAGGGGGAUAACUACUGGAAACGGUAGCUAAUACCGCAUACCAUCAGAUGUGCCCAGAUGGGAUUAGCUAGUUGGUGGGGUAACGGCUCACCAAGGCGACGAUCCCUAGCUGGUCUGAGAGGAUGACCCGCCACACCGGAAAUUAAGCACGGUCCCGAAUCCUACGGGAGGGAGCAGUGGGGAAUAUUGCACAAUGGGCGCAAGCCUGAUGCAGCCAUGCCGCGUGUAUGAAGAAGGCCUUCGGGUUGUAAAGUACUUUCAGCGGGGAGGCGUUACCCGCAGAAGAAGCACCGGCUAACUCCGUGCCAGUCGCCGCGGUAAUUC